UACCUAUACGUUGCCUCGGCGGAUCAGCCCGCGCCCCGUAAAACGGGACGGCCCGCCCGAGGACCCCUAAACUCUGUUUUUAGUGGAACUUCUGAGUAAAACAAACAAAUAAAUCAAAACUUUCAACAACGGAUCUCUUGGUUCUGGCAUCGAUGAAGAACGCAGCAAAAUGCGAUAAGUAAUGUGAAUUGCAGAAUUCAGUGAAUCAUCGAAUCUUUGAACGCACAUUGCGCCCGCCAGUAUUCUGGCGGGCAUGCCUGUUCGAGCGUCAUUUCAACCCUCAAGCUCAGCUUGGUGUUGGGACUCGCGGUAACCCCGCGUUCCCCAAAUCGAUUGGCGGUCACGUCGAGCUUCCAUAGCGUAGUAAUCAUACACCUCGUUACUGGUAAUCGUCGCGGCCACGCCGUAAAACCCCAACUUCUGAAUGUUGACCUCGGAUCAGGUAGGAAUACCCGCUGAACUUAAGCAU
rnacentral:misc_RNA from 1 species